rnacentral:lncRNA from 1 species
UUCCAACGCUCAAGUCAGAAAAGCAGAGAACAAAAGAGCAGCAAUGGAUUCUCUAAGAGGGAUUUGAUUUGACUUACCUGAGCCCUCAGAGCCCUGAUUGUUUAUAUAGAAGGAUGCCAGACAGCUGGGUUGCUAGCUAUGAGAUCGCACGAUCGCAAGAUUGUUGGACUAUUGGACAUGCCAAAUUGGGUGAGAUAAUUCAGCUCUUAAUCGCUCCCA